rnacentral:rRNA from 1 species
AUUGAACGCUGGCGGCAGGCCUAACACAUGCAAGUCGAGCGGAUGAGGGGAGCUUGCUCCUGGGUUGAGCGGCGGACGGGUGAGUAAUGCCUAGGAAUCUGCCUGGUAGUGGGGGAUAACGUCCGGAAAGGGGCGCUAAUACCGCAUACGUCCUGAGGGAGAAAGCGGGGGAUCUUCGGACCUCACGCUAUCAGAUGAGCCUAUGUCGGAUUAGCUAGUUGGUGGGGUAAAGGCCUACCAAGGCGACGAUCCGUAACUGGUCUGAGAGGAUGACCAGCCACACUGGGACUGAGACACGGUCCAGACUCCUACGGGAGGCAGCAGUGGGGAAUAUUGGACAAUGGGCGCAAGCCUGAUCCAGCCAUGCCGCGUGUGUGAAGAAGGUCUUCGGAUUGUAAAGCACUUUAAGUUGGGAGGAAGGGCAGUAAGUUAAUACCUUGCUGUUUUGACGUUACCAACAGAAUAAGCACCGGCUAACUUCGUG